CAUUGGCUGCGCUCCUCCCUCCUUCCUCCUCCCAUCCUGGGCCCGCGCGCAACUCAGCCGCCGCUUGCUUAUUGGCCGCCGCUUCUCACUGGUCUUUCCACCCUACCCGCCCCACCGCAACCUCAACGGUCGCAGCACAGUGUGGUGAGCGCGAGCCGCGUCUGCCGCUCCCUAUUGGCUCCGCUCCUUCUCUCGCUCCUCCUCCCGUCACCCACGGCCUCGCGCGAGUCCUGUGCCCCUCUCCGGAGCCCUACACAGGCUCUGCUUGGGGGAAGGGUGGGACGCAUGUGAGCAAUUGCGGUGCUGCUACAUCCUGGGAAAUUCCCCAGAAUCUGGGGAACUUCGGAGUCAAAUGUGUCAGCUUGGGAAAUUGGGAAUUUUCCUUCACAACCUAAACAAUGCCGGGAAAGGUUUCAGAGUAGCCGCCCUGUUAGUCUGUAUUCGCAAAAAGAAAAGGAGGACUUGUGGCACCUUGAAAAUUUCACAAAAAGUAAAAGACUUCCCAAGUCUCAAAAAUCCUGGGACGCUUUCUUAAAAAGUAAAGCGGGCUAUGCUGCUCUCCUAUUGGUGCUUCAGCGUGCUGUAUCAUGACGGCACAAGUGAAGUGACAAGCCUGCACACAUGCACUCACAACAAACCAACCUCAGCAACAGCUGGCUGGCGGGUAAUGAGGGGAUGGUUAUCAAAUGUAUCUUCUAGUUGCACAGAGAAUGUGGACCAGAGCGUUGGGCUGUUCCUAAAUUUGUAACAGCACCUUCCUCCAGGCAAAUAUUAAAUAUCUUUGCCUACUGUGUUAGGUAAAAAAUGAAUAAAGAGACCUGUAAGGCUGGUGAGAAGAUGAAGAGGACUGCAGGAGUAGACAAAGAUCCGUCCACAUCAAAAUGAAAAUAACGGGAUAGCACCGCCAACAGAGUAUUGAAGACUCGGGGUGAACUUCCACCAAAAGAGAAGCCAUCUACUUUCAAAAAAGCCUUUCAAGACUCGUGGCUUCAAGAAGGUAAAUACAAAGACUGCUGCAGAAAGCAGAAAACAAUCGUUUUUUAGCUUAUUACAAAUGUUGUGAUGUAAAAAUCAAGGCAGGUACUAGUGAGUUAGAUAAGAACGCUAAUGGUAAAAAACAUAAAAGGUUGAGACAGUAUCUAAUAAGAAGAAAAUUAAUGAUAUGUUUAAUAAACAAGAUUGUGAAAUUAAAAAAGCACAAAAAUUUGAAAAGCAUGUUAAAAAUGCAGAGAUUAGAAUGGCCUGUUACUUUGCUGCACACAAUGUCAGUAUUCAAUCUGAAGAAGGCUUCACUGAAGUAGUUAUUUCCCUGAUUCCAAAAUUGCUGAGGCUGUAACAAUAAAGAAAGAUAAAUGUACUGCUAUAAUUAGCAACGUUUUGGCACAAACUGAGACUGAGGAACUUGUAGAAAAAUUGAAAAUUAAUGAAUUUAGUGUAUUUGUGGAUGAAUCUCCUUCAGGGAAUAAAUAUGACAACCAUAACACUCAAUUCUAGUGUAGUUAUAAGGUCAGCUUUGAAAGCAAAGCAAGAGAAAUGUUCUAAUUUUGUAAUUACUAUUAAGCACUUGUAUUUACAUUGUAAAAAUAUGUACAGUAAAAAUGACAGUGAUAAAACUAGUAAAAAUAUUAAUGAUGGUAAUAAUGUUCCUAGUGACGACUCAGACUAUGAGUCAGCAAAUGGAUAAAACUCAGAGAUUAUAAUAAUAAGGAAAAUUAUAUAAAAGAGUGUUAUUUGUUCUUUCUGUUUGCUUUUUUAUAAUCAUAUGUUUACUUUCAAAGUAACUUUAAUGUACAGUACACUGCAGGGCACAUGCUGUACUUAUUAAUACUUUUGUUUUUUAAAAAGUGAAAUUUGUGUAAAAUACAUUGUUUUUUAUUAUUUCAAUCCUACUCCUCAUGUGUUAAAUAUUUUAUUUACUGUAUAAGUAACAUAAGUUUAAAAUUGAAAAACAUGUCUAUAUGUGUAAAAAUUAUAAUGUGAAAUAUCUCGAAUGAAUAAGAAUAAGUUGGAUAUAAUAUAUAUUAUAUAGUUAUUUAAAACACACAUAUUACGUUCCUUUGAGAUUUUGAAAUAAAAAACUUUAUCUGGGAA